CAAUGGCGUAUAUUAAAGUUGUUGCAGUUAAAAAGCUCGUAGUUGGAUUUCUGGUGGGAGCGAUCGGUCUGGCGCUUAGCGCGAGUACUUGCAUCGUCUCCGGCCAUCCUUGGGGAGAGUCUGUCUGGCAUUAGGUUGUCGGGCAGAGGAUCCUCAUCGUUUACUGUGAAAAAAUUAGAGUGUUCAAAGCAGGCUUAUGCCGUUGAAUAUAUUAGCAUGGAAUAAUAAGAUAGGACUUUGGUACUAUUUUGUUGGUUUGCGCACCAAAGUAAUGAUUAAUAGGGACAGUUGGGGGUAUUCGUAUUCCGUUGUCAGAGGUGAAAUUCUUGGAUUUACGGAAGACGAACUACUGCGAAAGCAUUUACCAAGGAUGUUUUCAUUAA
rnacentral:rRNA from 1 species